rnacentral:sRNA from 1 species
GCCAGGCAUGGUGGCGCAUGGUUGUAAUCCCAUCCACUCAGGAGGCUGAGGCAGGAGAAUUGAGAGUUCAAAGCCAGCUUCAGCAAAAUUGAGUCACUAAGCAACUCAGUGAGAUUCUGUCUCUA